rnacentral:rRNA from 1 species
GCAUAUCAUAAGCGGAGGAAAAGAAACUAACAAGGAUUCCCCUAGUAACUGCGAGUGAAGAGGGAAAAGCUCAAAUUUAAAAUCUGGCGGCAUUUAGCCGUCCGAGUUGUAAUCUAGAGAAGUGUUACCCGCGCCGGACCGUGUAUAAGUCUCCUGGAAUGGAGCGUCAUAGAGGGUGAGAAUCCCGUCUUCGACACGGAUCCCCGGGGCUUUGUGGUGCGCUCUCAACGAGUCGAGUUGUUUGGGAAUGCAGCUCAAAAUGGGUGGUAAAUUCCAUCUAAAGCUAAAUAUUGGCGAGAGACCGAUAGCGAACAAGUACCGUGAGGGAAAGAUGAAAAGAACUUUGGAAAGAGAGUUAAACAGUACGUGAAAUUGCUGAAAGGGAAACGCUUGAAGUCAGUCGCGUCGUCUGGAAAUCAACCUUGCUCUUUUGCUGGGCGUACUUUCCAGUUGACGGGCCAGCAUCAGUUUUGACCGGUGGAAAAAGUCCAAGGGAAUGUGGCACCUUCGGGUGUGUUAUAGCCUUUGGUCGUAUACAUCGAUUGGGACUGAGGAACUCAGCACGCCGAAAGGCCGGGUCUUCGGACCACGUUCGUGCUUAGGAUGCUGGCAUAAUGGCUUUAAUCGACCCGUCUUGAAACACGGACCAAGGAGUCUAACAUGCCUGCGAGUGUUUGGGUGGAAAACCCGAGCGCGUAAUGAAAGUGAAAGUUGAGAUCCCUGUCGCGGGGAGCAUCGACGCCCGGACCAGACGUUCUCUGACGGAUCCGCGGUAGAGCAUGUAUGUUGGGACCCGAAAGAUGGUGAACUAUGCCUGAAUAGGGUGAAGCCAGAGGAAACUCUGGUGGAGGCUCGUAGCGAUUCUGACGUGCAAAUCGAUCGUCAAAUUUGGGUAUAGGGGGCGAAAGACUUAAUCGAACCAUCUAGUAGCUGGGUUCCUGCCGAAGU